rnacentral:sRNA from 1 species
ACAGAGGCCAGGCCUUAGCGCGGCUCAGCCAUGAGCAACAGGAGUAGCUUUUCCCGGCUCACCUGGUGGGUAUCACUGUGCCGAGCGCUGUUGGCUCUCGGGGAACCUAGAAGUGUGGAAACCUAACACAUCCUGUGUCUCUAAGGUUCAGGAAGCAGAGGAAAGCUGUGGUCAGCGCCAGCGACAAGAAGAUGCCCAACGGAAUCUUGGAGGAGCAAGAGCAGCAAAGGGUGAUGCUGCUCAGCAGGUCACCCUCAGGGCCCAAGAAGUAUUUUCCCAUCCCCGUGGAGCACCUGGAGGAGGAGAUCCGUAUCAGAUCCGCCGA